GUUUUGUUCUUUCAAGAAUCCUAGAAACUAGAAUUCCUCAAAUAAAAUAAGAUUUUAAGAGUACUUUUGAGAAAAAAAAAAAUCAAAGAGGUUCGACCACUUUUGAUAAAAGACAAUUUGAAUCAAAAUGCAGGGAGAGUUUCAUAAGGAAAGUGAAUGGUUCGAUUUGCGGCAAAUACCAAGCCAUUCUGUAUGUUAUGUGUGUUUUGUCAUUUAUUUGUGUAAUAUGAAUUUAAUGAGUAUUUGUUUUCUUUUGUAUAUAGUUCUGAAUGAGAAAGAACAAUUGAAAGAAUGGAUGAGGGAAAUGUGAGAAUGGAUGGUUUCCUCCAAUGUCUUUAACUGCGUGUUUGGUGACAUUAAUGAGGGAAACGGAAAAAGCUUGUGCUAAAAGAGCGGCAGCUCUUAAAUUGGAAGUGGAAAAAACUAAUAGGUUGUCUCCAAAAGGUAGAAAGGUGAGAGAGAAUGCUGAGAAAGUUGUGGAAAUGAAAGCGAGAGCAAGGAUGAUGGCGAUGGGAUGUGCGUUAAAGUUGUCCCAUUUGGCUGUCAAGGAAGAGAGUGUUGGUCUGGUACCUUCAACACCCAAAGUGCCCUCUGCGCCGCCUCCUUAGUUGGAGGAGAAACAUCUUUUGGCAUUGUCUCCAAAUGACUCAUGUGUACCACCUUACCAUGACGCCAGGAAAUUCCAGGCUCCAGUGUUGAAUGUAACUGCCGGUCGACUUGAAGUAGAUGUAGAUGAUCAAACGCCUCUCACUCACUCACAAAAAACAUCAAACAUGAAUACGGUUGCAGUAACUCUGGCUGCUGAAGUGACCGCCGCCAGUAAAGAAUUAGAAGGAAAAUUGGACAAAGUUGUAGAUUUGAGAGCUGACCCAUUUACACGUUUGAAUCGGCUAGGAAUGUACAAGGCGGAAUUAAAUAGACAUCAAGAGGUUCCACAAAAUAUUAGAGAUCAACUUGAGAGAAUCACCACUGAACAUGAAAACAGAGCGAACGCUGAAGUGGAGGAGCAGAAAUGUGCCCUCCGCACAGAAUAAGAAGCAGCCCGACUGAAGAGAGAACAGGAAUUUGCUGUCUACCCUGGUAGAGGCCCUUCAAGUGGGGAAGUGGAAAACAGGUUGUACAUUAACAGUUACAGAACCAAAUAACAGAAUUAAAGUGUCAUGUCCAGAAUCUUUCAGGUUCCCUCCUCGACUCUGUUCAGGAUCAAACUGGAAGUCCUGAAGACCCCGAGAAAUCUUCCGAAGGUCCAGCUUCUCCUCAUCGGCCUGUGACACGUUCCCAAAUCUAACAGGCUCCCAUGUUGGCCAAAGUUGAUCCGGCUACUGGUAACUCUGCUAUGUUUUACAAACCUUUCUCUCCCACUGAUGUGAGUCUGCUGAUCCAGAAACUGCCACCUAUGCGAUCUCGUGCUGUAAACUGGCUUCAAGCAGUGCAGAGAGUGGUUCCGGGACAAAUGUUAACAGCAGGUGAUAUCCAUGUCCUUCUUACACAAUCAUCUCCACUUUCAUAGUUGAAUAGUCUGAUGCAAAAUUCAGGUUUUUCUUCUCUCCCCGAUCAUCAGGCUCUUACACGAGAAAAUUAUUUGACCUUGUCUACAGCACUGGACGCUUUGUUUCCACUUCCCGAGUGUGUUAUCUCAGAUAUGGUGUUUGCUCCCAAAGCAGAUGAGGAGGACGCGGCUUUUGUUGACCGUGCCCUCACUGAUUAUUCUCUGAAAACAGGACACGCUCCUACGGCCUCUGCCUUGCAUUCGCAAGUGUUCCGAGCAGCUAUUUUGAAGGGCGUUCCCAAGUCUGUGGCGCAGGACAUGGAGGCCAAUCCAGACCUUCCUGGUGCUGAGGUUGACCGGUGGUUGUCACAUCUUAAACAUCAUUUGAGGAGAUAUGCUAAAGAGAAAAAAUCUAAGGUAAACAAACACAAAAGUACAGAAACACAACUUGCUAUGUUGCAGUUGCAAUAUCUGAAAAAUCAGGAAGAAGCCACUCAUGCUGUGAUCUCAUCUCCCUCUGUCGGUUCCGAGUGCAUGAUGUAUCAAGCAGGUUCAUUCAUAGGUCGAGGUGCGCCCCCUGGUGGUCGUGACAUGUGCUUCAAUUGUGGACGGCUUGGUCAUUGGGCCCGCGCUUGCAGACAGCGACCUCAAGUGUCCGGAUGGAGAGGCAGAGGCAGAGGCCAACAACCUGCAUGUGGCUACAAUCGACGAGGUUACAACCAAUCCCGAGAGGGAGGACAUCUUGGACAGCACCAGCAGCUACCGCAGCAGUAACAGAGAUAUCCCUCAGUGCCAAACCAGCAGUAUCUACCACCCUCUGGUGGACAGUUUCCGCAAUGAUGGUGCCCUGAAUUCGCAUGUUUAGGCCUGCAGGAGCCUUUGAUGAUCCUGACGAAAAACCAUCUCACUUGUUGGAUUCAAGGGUGAAGAAACUGCCCUGCAAUUGACCACUCCGGUGACUGUUCAAUGUUUUUCACAGACUUUUUGCAUUCUUUUGUGUUUGCACCUAACUGUCCAGUCAAUCUUUUGGGCAGAGAUCUCCACAUCGCCACGUGCCCUCUCAUUAAAUGCAGCCCUGAUGGAUUUAUCCUGGAAUUUCCGGAUGGUAACACGUACUGCUGCUCUGCCGCCUGUGCCACCUCCCAGUUUCCGCUUGUUGAACAACGCACUGUGGCAUGCGCCACUGCUGACAUCUAUUGGGCAAGAGUGGAUAUUGACUCCAGUGGUUGGCUCGAGGCUAAGCACUUUUGGACUCUCUGGUCACCUUGGGUCCGUAAUCUCAGAUCUUAUGAUAUAGUAACUGAUUGUAUGCAUUGCACUCUGUACUAUGACAGAUCAGGAGAAGAGAUCUAUAGCGAGGCAUUUCAGGACAUUGAUAACAUAUGGGAAUUGAACAUGGUGAUUUGUUUGUGGGCAAACCAGUUGUUGCCUUUUCGUUGUUUUUGUCUCCUGAACAACUCGAAUGGUAUAAGAUGGCGGAUCCUCCGGAUCCUUCUAUGCCUCCUUGUCACCCACAUGUCUCCUUGAUGGUUUCGCCUCAGCACACAGCGAAGGAUCUUGGUCCGUUUGUCCUGACAUGCACACAGGCCACAGAUUGGCAAAAUUCAUUUCACUCUCAAUUGCUCUAUUCAUCAUCCCUUGAUGCUUAUUGGAUUCAGUCUAACACAUUUUUGACAACUUCUGUUUUGGAGCACCAGUUUCUGGAUAGGCACCAUGGACGUGAAACAACCGACAGUGACUUUGCUGGUCAACUUCUUGAUUCCCUUCCUGCGUCGCUGUGGUCUACGAAUCCCACUGACGUUAGUCUCUGCAAUGUCUCACCUGUUGCGUUUCUGAUGAAACCAGGAUGAAUAUAUGUUCCCCAAUACUCUGUAAAAGAGGCUGGGAUGGUUGGCAUUUCGGACACAAUUGACGGCCUGCUCAAAGCAGGGUGUUAUGUGAAAUUCCUGAAUCUGAUUAUAACACACCAAUUUUACCGGUUGAAAAGAAAGACACUGGAAAGUUUCGCAUGGUCCAUGACCUGCGAGCAAUUAAUGCGGCUGUUUUAACUCCCACUUUGCCAGUCCCGAACCCUCACUCGACACUGUCCCAAAUUACAUCAGCCCACACUCAUUUCACUUGCAUUGACUUGGCUAAUGCUUUCUUUUGCAUUCCUCUCCAUCCUUCAAUGAGGCAUUUUUUUGCUUUCACUUGGAAUGGUGUUUGUUACUCCUACAAUCGCAUGCCUCAAGGUUUUGUCCUUUCCCCCGGACUCUUCAACAACUGUCUUCGUCAGUUGCUGUCUCCGCUUGAAUUGCUAAUGGAGUUCUCCUGGUGCAGUAUGUGGAUGACCUCUUGCUGGCAGCUCCAUCUGAAACUUCUUGUCUUGAAGCCACCAGGUCUUUGCUCUCUCAUUUGGCCUCUGUUGGUCUGAAGUGUUCCAAGUCCAAACUUCAGAUUGCCCGACCACAGGUUUCCUUUCUCGGACGACUGAUCUCACGCCACACCACAGGAAUGUCUCCCUCUCACAAAGAUGACAUCCUUCAUCACCCAAAACCAAUGAAUGUCAAAACCAUGCUGGCCUUUCUUGGUCUUUGCAACUACUCCAGACAUCAUAUUCCAGACUUUGCUGACCUUACUUACCCGCUCCGAAAGAUGGUAAAUGACCAGCGUAUGCGGAACCUUUCUAAUAUUCUUUGUUGGACCACGGAAGCAGAUACUUCCUUCAUUUCCUUGAAACAGCAUCUUUCCGCUGCUGCGGCUCUUGCAAUUCCUGAUUACAACCGCAUGUUUUAUCUAGACUCAUCUGAAAAGGUCAGCAGUUUGUCUGCUGCCCUUUAUCAGAAAAGGGAAGGAGGAAGUCAAGUCUGCAUCCACUACAUUGGAAAAAUACGAGCAAAGACAUCCAAUAUGUGCAAUAAGUCCAAGCUGUAAGAAUUUUAGGCUCACAGUCAGACAGUCAGCACAAAGCACAAAGAGCAGAAAUUUUGGCAUUGACAGCAGCUCUCAGGUUAGCAGAAAACCACUCAGUAAACAUUUACACAGAUUCAGCGUAUGCACACAUGACAGUUCAUGUUGCAUUAAAAGAAUGGCAGCAAAACAAUUUCCAAACUGCAACCGGUACACCCAUUAAAACAUCAAGACGACAUUCUCAAAUUGCGAGACGCGUCACUGCUCCCAACAGCGGUAGCAGUAAUAAAAUGCAAAGGUCACUCUCGAACUAAUGAUUUUGUAUCAGCAGGUAACGAAUCAGCAGAUCAAGCAGCAAAAAAGGCUGCAGGGUACCGACCAACACUCCAACUAAUUGUAAGUGAGUCUGAAUGUGAAAAUCAACAGGAGGUGACAGUAGAAACAGUGAAGGUGUGGCAGGAAAAGGCAAGUCCAGAAGAAAAGAGUAUGUGGAAGUCGAAAGGGGGUGUCAAAGAUGAGGAUGGCAUAUGGCGAAAAGAAGAUAAAUGCAUUCCAUCUCGGACACAAUUGAAAAAUCUAAUUUCUGAACCCCAUGGAACAUGCCAUGUAGGUGUGGAUGAAACAUUGAGACGACUCCACUCCUGGUGGCAUCCUUUUUUGAGACAAAUUGUUAAAGGUGAACUGCAGGACUGCAGCUUUUGCAGUAGGUAUAACAGUAUGCCUACAACAAAACCACCGCAGGGAGUCCACGAUCCGGACGUGGACGCUCCUGGUCAGGUGAUUUCAAUGGAUUUUACUGACAUGAUUAAAACAGUGUCAGGUUACCGGUAUUUGCUAGUUAUAGUAGAUUAUUUUUCAGGAUGGCCAGAAGCAUAUCCCUGCAAAUCUGAAACAGUGAGCGUAGUGGUAAAACAUUUGGUUAAUCAUUACAUUCCAACGAACGGGUUCCCUAAGGAAAAUUAGAUCAGACAAUGGAACUCAUUUCAAAAACAAACAUCUCCAGGCUGUAGAAAAAACAUUAGGUUUGAAACAUCUAUGUGGUUAAAAGUGAUUAAACGACAAUGGUCUGAACCUAGGUGGACAGGUCCCUUUCAAGUUACUGAGUGGACAGCCACAGCAGUACGUCUUGAAGGAAAGGGGGACACGUGAUACCACAUCUCGUCCACACGACCCACCAGGUCCGCAUCAGGCUCAGCAAUCCCUCCACCUGACGACAACCGGAAAACCGCGUCUCCAGUGUCGGCUGGCACCCUUUCAUGACAUCAUUAUACAAGGGUUGAUUUCACGGUACAUGGGCACAAUAAUCCCAGUGAAUCAACCUGGGACCAGGCAGUCUAACCCCAAGGUCCUGAAGAAGCCAACUGCACCCCAGCUCGACUCAAUCCCAGAGGAAAAGAUAGCUGUGUCAGCGAUUGAUUACUGCCGCCAUUGAGAAUGGAUGAAUUGCUCCCCCUUCAGGCCCAAUGCACCAGCCCCUCCCGGUUUCAGGUGUCGGACUCUUUCGAGUCCGAAAGGGGGAUUGAAGUGUGUCUUCUGUUCUUUGUGUGUAUAACUCGUUUGAAGCAUGCCAACUCAUCAGAUAACCUUAAGUGAAUCUUGCUGAAAUGUUUACUAUAGACCAGGACGUAGGAAUAUGCCCGUUAUUACCAGAUAGAUGUGGUUUAGUCAUUAUGAUUGCCAGAAGGGUCCACAUCACAAAAGAAUGCUGCAAGUUCUUUGUAUCUUUGCACUUCUGAUCUGCUACAGCCAUUGUCUGUCACUCAUUUGUGCCCAGAAUAUUCUCUAACAUAAAUUGGUUAUGGUACCCACCCAACUUCCUUGGGGCAGAAUAAGACGGCUAUAGUACAAGGGAUCAAGUUCCGAAAAAAAAAGGGCUGAUGCUGCUGACUGAGAUAAGGUACACCAGCAGGCAUCAAGACCAUAGAGCAGCACAAUACGAGGACAUCGACAUUGUACAGAUAAAAUAUCUGGCCGACUUCAUUGUCCUUGAAUAGAAGGUGACGGAAGACCCUUCUGCUUCUGCAGAGCAGCUAUAAUUAAAAAUUCCAAAUGUUGAUGGGGAAACCUCAAGGAAAAUAUCAAAUGGAUCCUGAAAAGACUGUGUCUUGAGAAGCCACGAGGGGAUCCUGAGUGAUUUACAAAGUGCAGCCACGUCAUGCCUGAAAUAUGAGCCUGACAGAUGGUAGUGGCAGACAACAGGACGGGAGGAACCAGGAUGGACAGUAAAU